AAAAUACAUAAAAAUUCAUAACUUUACAAAAACCGAACGUUUCCCAUUUGCAUCACAUAUCCCCAGAUAGCCUGGAUCUGAGGGCAUAUUAUUAGCGAAUAGCGCUCAGAUCCCACACACAUAGUUCAAUCGCCAUGGAGUCAAAGUUCUUUCAGUCUUUCGGUAUACGAAUGACUCCAUGGGAAGGCUAUCUGGGUUAAGUCCUUUCGUAUGCUUCAAAACUCCCGAACGGCCGGUAUUCGUAUGCUUUCGUGGAGGCAGCCAGGCGUUCCGUUGUUUCAGCGGUGUUCGGCAGAAAAAGUGUCCGUUUUUAGUUCCAUGAAAAUAGAGCCGAACACCGCUGGGCUUUCGUGUGGUUUUAAAAUGGCCGCUGCCUCGUGGUCGACAUACGAACGACGACCACCCUGAAUUCGGUUUAAUUGAGAAGUGUCUGCGGUUAACCACAACGUUCUAAUUGGGAUCAAUAGGUUAACCAGCAGCACACUUCUCUCCUGGGUGGCCAUCCGUUCGGUAGUUUUGUUCGGGAAAAACUGUCAUUCGUAUGGCUGGGCUAUAGGAAACAGCCAUUUACACGAAGGGGGCAAAACAGACGAAUCCACCAACAAUAAACAGAUGGUUCUGUCACAGUAUCUGUGUUCAUAUCUGUAUGUCUGUGUGUGUGUGUCAAUGUGCAUAUCUCUAUGUCUGUGUAUCCGUAUGUCUGUGUGUACGCAUCUGUAUGUAUGUAUGUCUAUGUAACUGCAUGUUUGGCAGUUUUUGUAUUUGUAUGUCUGUCCCAAUCCCAGCACACACACUACAUCCCCAGCAUGCAUGCACACACACAAAUUCUACAUGCCCAGCAAACACACAAC